UGUCGUCAGCUCGUGUUGUGAAAUGUUGGGUUAAGUCCCGCAACGAGCGCAACCCUUAUCCUUUGUUGCCAGCGAUUAGGUCGGGAACUCAAAGGAGACUGCCAGUGAUAAACUGGAGGAAGGUGGGGAUGACGUCAAGUCAUCAUGGCCCUUACGACCAGGGCUACACACGUGCUACAAUGGCGCAUACAAAGAGAAGCGACCUCGCGAGAGCAAGCGGACCUCAUAAAGUGCGUCGUAGUCCGGAUUGGAGUCUGCAACUCGACUCCAUGAAGUCGGAAUCGCUAGUAAUCGUGGAUCAGAAUGCCACGGUGAAUACGUUCCCGGGCCUUGUACACACCGCCCGUCACACCAUGGGAGUGGGUUGCAAAAGAAGUAGGUAGCUUAACCUUCGGGAGGGCGCUUACCACUUUGUGAUUCAUGACUGGGGUGAAGUCGUAACAAGGUAACCGUAGGGGAACCUGCGGUUGGAUCACCUCCUUACCUU
rnacentral:rRNA from 1 species